AAUGGGGGCGAAUGGUGGCGAAAUGGGUGGAAAAGGAUCCAAAAAAUGGUGGAAAAUGAUGGAAAAUGAUCCAAAUUGAUCCAAAAAUGGUGGGGAAAAUGGAGGAAAGUGAUGAAAAAUGGUGGAAAAUGAUGCAAAAUGAUCCAAAAUGGAGGAAAAUGAUCCAAAAUGAUCCAAAAAUGGUGGAAAAUAAUCCAAAAUGAUGCAAAUUGAUCCAAAAAUGGUGGCAAAAACGGAGGAAAAUGAUCAAAAAUGGAGGAAAAUGAUCCAAAAAAUGGUGGAAAAUGAUCAAAAAUGGAGGAAAAUGAUGGAAAAUGAUCCAAAUUGAUCCAAAAAUGGUGGCAAAAAUGGAGGAAAGUGAUGAAAAAUGGAGAAAAAUGAUCCAAAAUGAUUUAAAAAAUGGAGGAAAAUGAUCCAAAAAUGGAGGGAAAUGAUCAAAAAUGGAGGAAAAUGAUCCAAAUUGAUCCAAAAAUGGUGGCAAAAAUGGAGGAAAUGAUCUAAAAUGGAGGAAAAUGAUCCAAAAUGAUCCAAAUUGAUCCAAAAAUGGUGGGGAAAAUGGAGGAAAGUGAUGAAAAAUGGUGGAAAAUGAUCCAAAAUGAUGAAAAGUGGAGGAAAAAUUGGUAGAAAAUGAUCCAAAAUGAUCCAAAAUGGAGGAAAAUGAUCCAAAAAUGAUCGAAAAUGGUGGAAAAUGAUCCAAAUUGAUCAAAAAUGGGGGGAAAUGGUCCAAAAUGAUCCAAAUUGAUCCAAAAAUGGUGGGGAAAAUGGAGGAAAGUGAUGAAAAAUGGAGAAAAAUGAUCCAAAAUGAUGAAAAGUGGAGGAAAAAUUGGUGGAAAAUGAUCCAAAAUGAUCCAAAAUGGAGGAAAAUGAUCCAAAAAUGAUCGAAAAUGGUGGAAAAUGAUCCAAAUUGAUCAAAAAUGGGGGGAAAUGGUCCAAAAUGGUCCAAAUUGAUCCAAAAAUGGUGGGGAAAAUGGAGGAAAGUGAUGAAAAAUGGUGGAAAAUGAUCCAAAAUGAUGAAAAGUGGAGGAAAAAUUGGUGGAAAAUGAUCCAAAAUGAUCCAAAAUGGAGGGAAAUGAUCCAAAAAUGAUCGAAAAUGGUGGAAAAUGAUCCAAAUUGAUCAAAAAUGGGGGGAAAUGGUCCAAAAUGAUCCAAAUUGAUCCAAAAAUGGUGGCAAAAAUGGAGGAAAAUGAUCUAAAAUUGAGGAAAAUGAUCUAAAAUGGAGGAAAUGAUCCAAAAAUGGUGGGGAAAAUGGAGGAAAGUGAUGAAAAAUGGAGAAAAAUGAUCCAAAAUGAUUAAAAAAAUGGAGGAAAAUGAUCCAAAAAUGGUGGGAAAUGAUGAAAAAUGAUCCAAAUUAAUCAAAAAUUGGGGAAAAUGGUCCAAAAAUGGUGGCAAAAAUGGAGGAAAAUGAUCAAAAAUGGAGGAAAAUGAUCCAAAAUGAUCCAAAUUGAUCCAAAAAUGGUGGCAAAAAUGGAGGAAAAUGAUCUAAAAUGGAGGAAAAUGAUAAAAAAUGGAGGAAAAUUACCCAAAAUGAUCCAAAAAUGGAGGAAAAAAUGGAGGAAAAUGAUCAAAAUUGAUCAAAAAUGGGGGAAAAUGGUCCAAAAUGAUCACAAAAUGGAGGAAAAUGAUCAAAAAUGGAGGAAAAUGAUCCAAAAUGAUCCAAAAUGGAGGGAAAUUAUCCAAAAAUGGGGGAAAAUAAUGAAAAAUGAUCCAAAUUGAUGAAAAAUGGUGGAAAAUGAUCCAAAAUGAUCACAAAAUGGAGGAAAAUGAUCCAAAAUGAUCCAAAUUGAUCCAAAAAUGGUGGCAAAAACGGAGGAAAAUGAUCAAAAAUGGAGGAAAAUGAUCCAAAAAAUGGUGGAAAAUGAUCAAAAAUGGAGGAAAAUGAUGAAAAAUGAUCCAAAUUGAUCCAAAAAUGGUGGGGAAAAUGGAGGAAAGCGAUGAAAAAUGGAGGAAAAUGAUAAAAAAUGGAGGAAAAUUACCCAAAAUGAUCCAAAAAUGGAGGAAAAAAUGGAGGAAAAUGAUCAAAAUUGAUCAAAAAUGGGGGAAAAUGGUCCAAAAUGAUCACAAAAUGGAGGAAAAUUACCCCAAAUGAUCCAAAAAUGGUGAAAAAUGGUGGAAAAUGAUCAAAAAUGAUCCAAAAUGGAGGAAAAUGAUCCAAAAUGAUCACAAAAUGGAGGAAAAUUAUCAAAAAUGAUCAAAAAAUGGAAAAAAUGGAGGAAAAUGAUCAAAAUUGAUCAAAAAUGGGGGAAAAUGGUCCAAAAUGAUCACAAAAUGGAGGAAAAUUACCCCAAAUGAUCCAAAAAUGGUGAAAAAUGGUGGAAAAUGAUCAAAAAUGAUCCAAAAUGGAGGAAAAUGAUCCAAAAUGAUCACAAAAUGGAGGAAAAUUAUCAAAAAUGAUCAAAAAAUGGUGAAAAAUGGAGGAAAAUGAUCAAAAAUGAUCAUAAAUGAUGGAAAAAUGGAAUAAAAAUUGACGGAAAAUGGGGAAAAUGGGUGAAAAAAUGAGGGAAAAAUUGAAUGAAAAAUGGUUCAAAAAUGGGGAAAAAUGAGAAAAAAAGGGAGAAAAUGAGGAAAAAA
ensembl:lncRNA